AUUGAACGCUGGCGGCAGGCCUAACACAUGCAAGUCGAACGAGUGGCGGACGGGUGAGUAAUGUCUGGGAAACUGCCUGAUGGAGGGGGAUAACUACUGGAAACGGUAGCUAAUACCGCAUACCAUCGGAUGUGCCCAGACGGGAUUAGCUAGUAGGUGGGGUAACGGCUCACCUAGGCGACGAUCCCUAGCUGGUCUGAGAGGAUGACCAGCCACACUGGAACUGAGACACGGUCCAGACUCCUACGGGAGGCAGCAGUGGGGAAUAUUGCGCAAUGGGCGAAAGCCUGAUGGAGCAACGCCGCGUGUGUGAAGAAGGCCUUCGGGUUGUAAAGUUCUUUCAGCAGGGAGGCGUUACCCGCAGAGGAAGCACCGGCUAACUCCGUGCCAGCAGCCGCGGUAAUAC
rnacentral:rRNA from 1 species